rnacentral:tRNA from 1 species
GCCCUAAUAGCUUAAACCUUAAAGCACUGGUCUUGUAAACCAGAGACUGAAGUUUAAAAUCUUCUUACGGCU